GUGAAAUGAUGCAAACUGCUAAUCCAUUCUCUUAGUUUUGAUGGUCCCACCCCUGGGUAGCACCUCUCGGUGUGAUGGGACAGGUAUGGCUCAGACCUGCUGGUCAGGUUCUCUGGUCAGCUGGGGAUGGGCUGUGCUGAUCUCUACCCCAGGGGCUGGGACAGUCAGGGAGACUGGCCUACUUGUCUCUUGAACCAAUGACGAGGGCAGAUUUUCUGAUCAC